rnacentral:lncRNA from 1 species
GAGAUAAACUUGAAAGUAGCUUGAAACUCAAGUCAUACUAAUCCUACUUGUAUUAGGAUUAGGAUAAAAGGUUUUAUUAUUAAGUUUAGGAGUUUUAAGAUCUCUAUAUAAGAAGAUGUUGAGUUGUGACAUGAACUUAUAAGUGAAAGAGAUUAUUGUGAGAGCUUAAGUUUUGAGAGAUUUUCUUAAGCUAAUAAAGAAGUUAUUUUAUAAUCUUGUGAGUUUAGCCAAUAAUUGGUAUCAGAGCAAAAUCAGAAAUCAGAUUCAACAAAGAUGGGAGACAUCACGACCAUACCGACGAGAUCAAAAGAAGGACCAUCAUCCAUAAAGUGUCCAAUGUUAACAUCAACUAAUUAUACAGUUUGGGCAAUGCGCAUGAAGGUUCUUCUCAAAGUUCACAAAGUAUGGGAAACCGUUGAAAGUGAGACGAUCGAGCCUGAAAAAAACGAUAUGGCCACAGCUCUUCUUUUCCAAUCCAUUCCAGAAGCGCUUAUCCUGCAGGUCGGAGAGUUAGAUACCGCGAAGCAGGUUUGGGACGCCAUUAAAGCCCGACAUCUAGGAGCAGACAGAGUCAGAGAAGCUCGUUUACAAACCCUAAUGGCAGAAUUCGAUCGCUUGAAGAUGAAGGAAACCGAUACAAUCGAUGACUUCGUUGGCAAGCUAUCGGAGAUUUCUUCAAAAUCUGCAUCUUUAGGAGAAAACAUUGAGGAAACAAAGCUCGUCAAGAAAUUUCUCAAGAGUCUACCUAGAAAGAAAUACAUACACAUUGUGGCGUCCCUCGAACAAGUACUUGAUCUUAAGGUAACAAGCUUUGAAGAUAUCAUUGGUAGAUUAAAAGCUUAUGAGGAGCGGGUUGGAGAGGAUGAUGAAGAUGGUCAUGAAGAACAGAGUAAGCUUAUGUAUGCAAACUCAGAGAAUCGAGACUACAAUGGAGAGUUUCGAAACAGAGGAAGAGGAGGACGUUCGUAUGGAAGAGGACGAGGACGAGGAAGAUCCUAUCAGGAGUUUGACAUAUCAAGAAUUACAUGUUUUAGGUGCGACAAGAAGGGACACUUUGCGUCAAGCUGUCCUGAUAGAAUUCUAAAGCUUCAAGAGACAUACGAAAAUAGAAUCAAGGAGAUAACAGAUGAUACACAAGAGGCUGAUAGGUUAUUGAUGCACGAAGUAGUCUACCUAAAUGAAAAAAACGUAAACCCCAAGGAGUUUGAUGAUAGUUCAGACAGUGACAGAGUUUGGUAUCUCGACAAUGGGGCAAGUAAUCAUAUGACAGGGAGGUAUGAGUACUUCAAGAACAUUGAUUAUUCAGUGACAGGAAAGGUGAGAUUUGGGGAUGAUUCAAGAAUCGACAUCAAAGGCAAAGGUUCCAUACUAUUUGUAAGUCAAAACGGGGAUAAGAAGAUCUUGGCUGAUGUUUACUACAUACCAGACUUAAAGAGCAGUAUUAUUAGUCUUGGACAGGCUACAGAGGCAGGUUGUGAAGUGAGAAUGAAAGAAGAAUAUCUGUUCCUCCAUGAUAAGCAAGGAAAACUUAUAGUACAAGCUAAGAGGUCGAGAAACAGAUUGUAUAAAGUCUUGAUGAACAUCGUGGAAGCUAAGUGUCUUAAGAUGGAGGCUCAAUCGGAAAGUAGUACGUGGCAUGCGCGGUUAGGUCAUAUUGGAGCAAGCUCUAUGCGAGUGAUGAUGAAAGAAAAAUUAGUAAUAGGCUUGCCGAGUCUAAACGUUGACAAAGAAACGUGUUCUUCGUGUUUACUUGGCAAGCGCGCCAGAGCUCCAUUCCCUAGCUCCACCGUGUAUCGAGCAACUCAGCCGUUGGAACUCAUUCAUGGUGACUUGUGUGGACCCAUCACACCUCCUACCGCAGGAAAGAACCGAUAUAUAUUUGUUCUUAUCGACGACUACUCAAGGUAUAUGUGGUCAAUUCUGUUAAAAAAAGAGUGAGGCUCUAGAAAAGUUCAAAGUAUUCAAAACCGUGGUUGAAGGAGAAACAAAAGAGUCUAUAAAGACACUUAGAACCGAUAGGGGAGGUGAGUUCACAUCAAAUGAGUUCAAGAGUUUCUGCGAGACAACAGGAAUAAACAGACACCUAACUGCUCCAUAUUCACCACAACAAAACGGAGUGGUAGAACGUCGAAACCAAACACUGAUGGAGAUGACAAGGAGCAUUCUCAAGCACAUGAGUGUACCUAACUAUCUGUGGGGAGAGGGAGUCAGACACGCCACCUAUAUCAUCAAUCGAGUAGGAACAAAAGUUCUCAAGAACCAGACACCGUAUGAAGCUCUAAAGGGUCGUAAGCCUAAUAUCGAGCAUCUCAAAGUAUUUGGAUGUAUCGGUUAUGCCAAGGUGGAUACUCCACAUCAAAGAAAGCUAGACGACAGAUUAAGGAUACUCGUGCAUUUAGGAAUAGAACCAGGAAGCAAAGCAUAUAGAUUGUUUGAUCCAAUGACUCAGAAGGUAGUGGUAAGUAGAAACGUUGUGUUCGAUGAGCAAAAGAGCUGGAACUGGAAUGUCUCUACAAGCGAUGAGACUCUUGCUCCCGGAUCAUUCAAGCUCUCUUUCGGAGACUUUGGGAACAAUGGCAUACGAGAAGAUGGAGGGAAUGUAGAUGAGAGUGUAAAAGAAACUAAAGAAGAAGAUCAAACUCAAGCAGAGACAUCAAUAGACGAUCACAAUAACGAAACAGAGUCCGAAACAGAGCAAGAAGCAGAGCCGGUACUGCGAAGAUCAACUAGGGUCAGUAAAGCUCCUGCUUACCUAGAAGACUAUGUAUAUUUAUCUGAAGUCGAGGGAGAACGAUUGUUACUUAUGUUGAACGAGGAACCAUUCAACUAUGAUGAGGCGUGUGAAGAAGAGAUAUGGAGGAAUGCUUGCGACGAUGAGAUACUGUCUAUAGUAAAAAAUAAGACAUGGGAACUGGUAGACCUGCCUCACGGAGCUAAAGCCAUAGGUAUAAAGUGGAUCUUCAAGGUAAAAAGAACUCAGAUGGAACCAUAAACAAACAUAAGUCGAGGUUAGUAGCUAAGGGAUACAUUCAAAGACACGGUGUAGAUUAUGAAGAAGUCUUCUCUCCUGUGGCGCGAAUAGAGACUCUACGUCUCAUCAUAGCAGUAGCAGCUUCAAGAGGAUGGCAAGUGCAUCACCUGGAUGUUAAGAUAGCCUUUCUCAACGGUGAGCUAAAAGAAAACGUUUACGUAUGUCAACCUGAGGGUUAUGUAGUCAAAGGAAGUGAAGAGAAGGUUUACAAGCUUAAAAAGGCGUUGUAUGGCUUGAAACAAGCCCCGAGGGCAUGGAAUGAGAAGCUCAAUAAAACCUUAGAGGAUCUGAGGUUUGUCAAGUGCACAAAGGAAGCAUCCCUGUACCGGUUGAUGUGUGACGGAGACGUUUUACUUGUGGCAGUAUAUGUUGAUGAUCUGUUGAUCACAGGGUCUAAGACAGAGAUGAUAGAUGAGUUCAAAAGCAAUAUGUCAAACAAAUUCGAGAUGAGUGAUCUUGGUCUCCUAACCUAUUACCUCGGUAUUGAAGUGGUUCAAAGCAAUGAAGGAAUAUCGAUCAAACAAGAGAGUUAUGCAAAGAAAGUUCUUGAGGCAACAAGCAUGAUCGACUGCAAUGCAACACAGUUUCCUAUGGAUGCUGGUCUAAAACUUUCAAAGGCGGAGCAGGAGGCAAGUGUGGAUGAGAAGGAUUACCGCAGGGUCAUUGGGUGCUUGCGUUACUUGCUACAUACUCGACCGGACCUAUCUUAUUCGGUUGGAGUAUUAAGUAGGUAUAUGCAUGAUCCUAAAACCUCGCAUUGGACGGCUUUGAAACAAGUCCUAAGGUAUGUAAAGGGCACGGUCGCGUAUGGUCUCAACUUCUUACGGUCAAGCAAAGAAGGAUGGAUGUUAACAGGGUAUAGUGACAGUAGUCACAAUGUUGACAUUGAUGAUGGACGAAGUACCACAGGCCAUAUGUUCUACCUGAAUGAGUGUCCUAUCACUUGGUGCUCUCAGAAGCAGGAAACUGUUGCUCUCUCUUCAUGUGAAGCCGAAUUCAUGGCAGCUACUGAGGCGGCAAAACAAGCAAUUUGGCUACAGGAAUUACUUGCUGAAGUAACUGAAGAACCGUGUGAGAAAGUGGUGGUUAAGAUAGAUAACAAAUCUGCAAUAGCGCUUACAAAGAAUCCGGUGUUCCAUGGACGGAGUAAGCAUAUUCAUAAACGUUAUCAUUUCAUCAGAGAGUGCAUAGACAAUGGUCUAGUGGACGUAGAGCAUAUUGCACGAAGCCUUCAAAAGGCUGACAUUCUUACUAAAGCCUUAGGAAGAUUGAAAUUCAAGGAGAUGCGAGAGCUGGUGGGAGUUCAAGAUUUGAAAGAUGGUGAUUUCAAGUUUAAGGGGGAGAAUGUUAGAGAUAAAAUUGAAAGUAGCUUGAAACUCAAGUCAUACUAAUCCUACUUGUAUUAGGAUUAGCAUAAAAGGUUUUAUUAUUAAGUUUAGGAGUUUUAAGAUCUCUAUAUAAGAAGAUGUUGAGUUGUGACAUGAACUUAUAAGUGAGAGAGAUUAUUGUGAGAACUUAAGUUUUGAGAGAUUUUCUUAAGCUAAUAAAGAAGUUAUUCUAUAAUCUUGUGAGUUUAGCCAAUA